ACGGAAGGCAGCAGUGGGGAAUAUUGGGCAAUGGGCGCAAGCCUGACCCAGCGACGCCGCGUGAGGGAAGAAGGUCUUCGGAUUGUAAACCUCUUUCAGCAGGGAAGACAAAAGGACGGUACCUGCAGAAGAAGUCACGGCUAACUACGUGCCAGCAGCCGCGGUAAUACGUAGGUGGCGAGCGUUAUCCGGAAUUACUGGGUGUAAAGGGUGUGUAGGCGGAGGAGCAAGUCAGGCGUGAAAUGCCAGGGCUCAACCCUGGAAUUGCGCUUGAAACUGUUCCCCUUGAGAGUGGGAGAGGUAAACGGAAUUCCUGGUGUAGUAGUGAAAUGCGUAGAUAUCAGGAGGAACACCGGUGGCGAAGGCGGUUUACUGGACCACAACUGACGCUGAGACACGAAAGCGUGGGGAGCAAACAGGAUUAGAUACCCUGGUA
rnacentral:rRNA from 1 species